rnacentral:rRNA from 1 species
GAUGAACGCUGGCGGCGUGCCUAAUAUAUGCAAGUCGAGCGAACAGACGAGGAGCUUGCUCCUUUGACGUUAGCGGCGGACGGGUGAGUAACACGUGGAUAACCUACCUAUAAGACUGGGAUAACUUCGGGAAACCGGAGCUAAUACCGGAUAACAUGUUGAACCGCAUGGUUCAACAGUGAAAGACGGUCUUGCUGUCACUUAUAGAUGGAUCCGCGCCGCAUUAGCUAGUUGGUAAGGUAACGGCUUUCCAAGGCAACGAUGCGUAGCCGACCUGAGAGGGUGAUCGGCCACACUGGGACUGAGACACGGUCCAGACUCCUACGGGAGGCAGCAGUAGGGAAUCUUCCGCAAUGGGCGAAAGCCUGACGGAGCAACGCCGCGUGAGUGAAGAAGGUCUUCGGAUCGUAAAACUCUGUUAUUAGGGAAGAACAAAUGUGUAAGUAACUAUGCACGUCUUGACGGUACCUAAUCAGAAAGCCACGGCUAACUACGUGCCAGCAGCCGCGGUAAUACGUAGGUGGCAAGCGUUAUCCGGAAUUAUUGGGCGUAAAGCGCGCGUAGGCGGUUUUUUAAGUCUGAUGUGAAAGCCCACGGCUCAACCGUGGAGGGUCAUUGGAAACUGGAAAACUUGAGUGCAGAAGAGGAAAGUGGAAUUCCAUGUGUAGCGGUGAAAUGCGCAGAGAUAUGGAGGAACACCAGUGGCGAAGGCGACUUUCUGGUCUGUAACUGACGCUGAUGUGCGAAAGCGUGGGGAUCAAACAGGAUUAGAUACCCUGGUAGUCCACGCCGUAAACGAUGAGUGCUAAGUGUUAGGGGGUUUCCGCCCCUUAGUGCUGCAGCUAACGCAUUAAGCACUCCGCCUGGGGAGUACGACCGCAAGGUUGAAACUCAAAGGAAUUGACGGGGACCCGCACAAGCGGUGGAGCAUGUGGUUUAAUUCGAAGCAACGCGAAGAACCUUACCAAAUCUUGACAUCCUCUGACCCCUCUAGAGAUAGAGUUUUCCCCUUCGGGGGACAGAGUGACAGGUGGUGCAUGGUUGUCGUCAGCUCGUGUCGUGAGAUGUUGGGUUAAGUCCCGCAACGAGCGCAACCCUUAAGCUUAGUUGCCAUCAUUAAGUUGGGCACUCUAAGUUGACUGCCGGUGACAAACCGGAGGAAGGUGGGGAUGACGUCAAAUCAUCAUGCCCCUUAUGAUUUGGGCUACACACGUGCUACAAUGGACAAUACAAAGGGUAGCGAAACCGCGAGGUCAAGCAAAUCCCAUAAAGUUGUUCUCAGUUCGGAUUGUAGUCUGCAACUCGACUACAUGAAGCUGGAAUCGCUAGUAGUCGUAGAUCAGCAUGCUACGGUGAAUACGUUCCCGGGUCU